rnacentral:rRNA from 1 species
AUUGAACGCUGUCGGCAGGCCUAACACAUGCAAGUCGAGCGCGCGGCGGACGGGUGAGUAAUGUCUAGGGAUCUGCCCGAUGGAGGGGGAUACCUACUGGAAACAGUGGCUAAUACCGCAUACUAUCGGAUGUGCCCAGAUGGGAUUAGCUCGGCUGUGGGGUAACGUCUCACCUAGACGACGAUCCCUAGCUGGUCUGUGAGGAUGAGCAGCCACACUGGAACUGAGACACGGUCCGGACUCCUACGGGAGGCAACAGUGGGGAAUAUUGCACAAUGGGCGAAAGCCUGAUGCAGCCAUGCCGAGUGUAUUAAGAAGGCCGUCGGGUUGUAAAGUACUUUCAGCGAGGAGGCGUUACUCGCAGAAGAAGCACCGGCUAACUCCGUGCCAGCAGCCGCGGUAAUAC